rnacentral:rRNA from 1 species
UACGUAGGUGGCAAGCGUUGUCCGGAUUUACUGGGCGUAAAGAGCGCGCAGGCGGUCGUUCAAGUCGCGUGUGAAAGCCCCCGGCUCAACUGGGGAGGGUCACGCGAUACUGAUCGACUCGAAGGCAGGAGAGGGUAGUGGAAUUCCCGGUGUAGUGGUGAAGUGCGUAGAUAUCGGGAGGAACACCAGUGGCGAAGGCGACUACCUGGCCUGUUUCUUGACGCUGAGGCGCGAAAGCUAGGGGAGCAAACGGG